UUUAUGGAGAGUUUGAUCCUGGCUCAGGAUGAACGCUGGCGGCCUGCCUAAUACAUGCAAGUCGAGCGAACGGACGAGAAGCUUGCUUCUCUGAUGUUAGCGGCGGACGGGUGAGUAACACGUGGAUAACCUACCUAUAAGACUGGGAUAACUUCGGGAAACCGGAGCUAAUACCGGAUAAUAUUUUGAACCGCAUGGUUCAAAAGUGAAAGACGGUCUUGCUGUCACUUAUAGAUGGAUCCGCGCUGCAUUAGCUAGUUGGUAAGGUAACGGCUUACCAAGGCAACGAUGCAUAGCCGACCUGAGAGGGUGAUCGGCCACACUGGAACUGAGACACGGUCCAGACUCCUACGGGAGGCAGCAGUAGGGAAUCUUCCGCAAUGGGCGAAAGCCUGACGGAGCAACGCCGCGUGAGUGAUGAAGGUCUUCGGAUCGUAAAACUCUGUUAUUAGGGAAGAACAUAUGUGUAAGUAACUGUGCACAUCUUGACGGUACCUAAUCAGAAAGCCACGGCUAACUACGUGCCAGCAGCCGCGGUAAUACGUAGGUGGCAAGCGUUAUCCGGAAUUAUUGGGCGUAAAGCGCGCGUAGGCGGUUUUUUAAGUCUGAUGUGAAAGCCCACGGCUCAACCGUGGAGGGUCAUUGGAAACUGGAAAACUUGAGUGCAGAAGAGGAAAGUGGAAUUCCAUGUGUAGCGGUGAAAUGCGCAGAGAUAUGGAGGAACACCAGUGGCGAAGGCGACUUUCUGGUCUGUAACUGACGCUGAUGUGCGAAAGCGUGGGGAUCAAACAGGAUUAGAUACCCUGGUAGUCCACGCCGUAAACGAUGAGUGCUAAGUGUUAGGGGGUUUCCGCCCCUUAGUGCUGCAGCUAACGCAUUAAGCACUCCGCCUGGGGAGUACGACCGCAAGGUUGAAACUCAAAGGAAUUGACGGGGACCCGCACAAGCGGUGGAGCAUGUGGUUUAAUUCGAAGCAACGCGAAGAACCUUACCAAAUCUUGACAUCCUUUGACAACUCUAGAGAUAGAGCCUUCCCCUUCGGGGGACAAAGUGACAGGUGGUGCAUGGUUGUCGUCAGCUCGUGUCGUGAGAUGUUGGGUUAAGUCCCGCAACGAGCGCAACCCUUAAGCUUAGUUGCCAUCAUUAAGUUGGGCACUCUAAGUUGACUGCCGGUGACAAACCGGAGGAAGGUGGGGAUGACGUCAAAUCAUCAUGCCCCUUAUGAUUUGGGCUACACACGUGCUACAAUGGACAAUACAAAGGGCAGCGAAACCGCGAGGUCAAGCAAAUCCCAUAAAGUUGUUCUCAGUUCGGAUUGUAGUCUGCAACUCGACUACAUGAAGCUGGAAUCGCUAGUAAUCGUAGAUCAGCAUGCUACGGUGAAUACGUUCCCGGGUCUUGUACACACCGCCCGUCACACCACGAGAGUUUGUAACACCCGAAGCCGGUGGAGUAACCUUUUAGGAGCUAGCCGUCGAAGGUGGGACAAAUGAUUGGGGUGAAGUCGUAACAAGGUAGCCGUAUCGGAAGGUGCGGCUGGAUCACCUCCUUUCU
rnacentral:rRNA from 1 species